CAUAUAGAUGCUCCUAUACGUUACCAUAUAUGAAAUGUGUUGUGCUUUGUGUAUAUAAUUUGAAUACAUAAGGGGUGUUCACACCCCUCACAUGGAGUGAUAUUUGCGCGAGGUGGGCUCCAACUCACAACCCCUUACACGGGGUGAUUCUCUAGCGAGGUGGGCCCCCACCCCAUGUGAGGGUGUGGCAUCCUAAUGUACAUAUUUUUAUGUACAUCAAGACUUAUCCAUACGAAAUAUGUAUUAAAUCUUUGUAUAAAGCAUUAGGGAAUCUCGAUGGGACCCAAAAAAAAGGAAAAAAUACAAAUAGAAAAACAAAAGCUGGGUAAUUUUAUACAAACAGUUUCUACAGUUUGUUGAAGCCAACAUCGAGAGGCUGAUCAAUCACCGAGCUCCAAAUGCAAUCCACUUGGUUCUUGAAAUGUACACAAAUAAUUCUCAUCGAUCUUGUAAUCAUCACCAAAAUUCUGAUCAAGGGAUGAACAAACACACGAAUUUUCUACACAAAACUGAUCAAGAUUUUCUGUAAAAAUGCUGGGAAUUUCAUAUAAACAUGUACCAAAUGUGUCUUGGAGUUCCAAAUAUUCAUCACUUUUAAAGAUCACACCUUCUUUUAGCCAAGGAAAAUCGAAAACUCCACCCUCUUUGCAGCACUCAGAUUCUGGCUUCUUUUCUUUACUGGUUUCUUGUUUUUCUUCUUCUUCUUCUCUUGUUCUCUUUCUGUUCUCUCUCUCCAUCAAUUCUGUAUCUUCCAAACACAAAAAUGGGAACAACAACGUUAGAUGAUUGCUACACAAAUAAAUGUUUUGCUGUGAUCAUCAUGCUAUGAGAUUUGGAGCUAAAUGAAACCCUUUUUAUCCACACAAUAUCAGUACAUAAAAAAUGCACGCCAUCUGUCACACCUUUUACCAAAGCAUAGUUCUCUCCGCCUUUCUUUCGAUCUCUCUUUUUAUGUGUGUUCAAAUUAGAGGCCAUAAAAUUUGUGCAUUGCUUGUUCCCUAAUUCCUUAAAAUUUGUCACUUUAUUCUUUAAUCAAAUUCGGCUAAUCAAAAUCAUGCAAGCAAGUAAUGUAUAACUUUUUGCUUAAGAAAAUGCGGGGAAAAAAAAAAUAAAGAAAAAACAUGUCAACAACUUAAAUAAAUAGGUGUAUACGUGUUUCCCUUUUUAUCAAUAAAUCAAUGUCACAAUCUGUGUAUUUUUUAGACUCCAU
rnacentral:lncRNA from 1 species